rnacentral:rRNA from 1 species
CGGUUACCUUGUUACGACUUCACCCCAGUUAUCGGUCCCACCUUCGACGGCUCCCUCCGAUUGGUUGGGUCACCGGCUUCGGGCGUUACUGACUCCCAUGGUGUGACGGGCGGUGUGUACAAGACCCGGGAACGUAUUCACCGCGACAUUCUGAUUCGCGAUUACUAGCGAUUCCAGCUUCAUGUAGUCGAGUUGCAGACUACAAUCCGAACUGAGACGUUAUUUUUGGGAUUUGCUCACAUUCACAUGCUUGCUUCCCUUUGUUUACGCCAUUGUAGCACGUGUGUAGCCCUGGUCAUAAGGGGCAUGAUGAUUUGACGUCAUCCCCACCUUCCUCCAGGUUGUCCCUGGCAGUCUCUCUAGAGUGCCCAUCCGAAAUGCUGGCUACUAAAGAUAGGGGUUGCGCUCGUUGCGGGACUUAACCCAACAUCUCACGACACGAGCUGACGACAACCAUGCACCACCUGUCUCCAGUGCUCCGAAGAGAAGGGACGGUUAAGUCCCGGUCACCGGGAUGUCAAAAUC